rnacentral:tRNA from 1 species
GGGCAGGUGGCGGAAUUGGUAAACGUACCAGCCUUAGGAGCUGGCGCUCGUAUGAGCUUGGGAGUUCGACUCUCCCCCUGCCCA